CUUUCACAAAAUUUCAUUUUGUCAUAAAAUUAGUAUAUGCUUAUUAAAUUAAAAAUUUGGGAAAUCUGAAACAGUAGAAGGAAGGCAAGUAAUCAACCUAUUCCUAUGAGCUGAGAUAUUUAAUACUCAAUAAUGAUAUACUUUCCUAGGGAAUUAGAAACAAUUACGAUUUGUUAACAAGUACUUUUAAAGAUCAGUUUACUGUUAUGCUGCUUUGAAAUUAACAAAGUAAUACAUGAUGGCUUAAAUAUGCCAAGAGUUUAGAUAAUUUGGAUUUCUGAUUGAAGAAUUUAGAAAGCAAAGAAAUUGUGCAUUUUAUAUGUUAGCAACAAAGACAGUAUUCCACAUUUUAUCAAGUUUUUGUCCCUUUUUGAAUAGUGCUGUUUUUAUAGAGAUGCAAAGUUAUCAUUACUUUUAAGACACUUCCAAGACCUGUAGGGCAAUCAUAAUAUUAACAAGGAUAAUUUUAAACUUUAAAAAUAUAAAUUUAAAAGUUAUUUAUAAUUCUAAUCAUAGUUGGAUGUGGGCACGUCUAGAAUUUUAAUGGGUCUUCAUGUUUUUAUGAGAAUAAAAAAUCUGUUUUCAAUGGAAUGAUAGUCUAAAACAUGUGGUUAGACAGCACAAAUUAUGUGAGAUUUAAGUAGUGUGAUAUAAAAAUUAAUAACCCAUAUAUUCUAAGGAAAAUUAGUAAUUUUGUGGUUUUCACCAAACUUAAAUUAAGAUUUGCAUAAUUUUAGUUGGUAAACAACUAAAUGAAUUGUAAAUUGUUUUUCCUCCUUCCACAUGGUGGAGCCACGUUAGCUUAUAAUGGAAGUAACCAGCCAUUCUUUGUUAGCAAGGUGUGUUCCACUCCGCGCUCAAUGAGAACUUCUAUAAGAGAUCUUGGUUACUUUUAUGCUCUUAUUUUUAACAGUCACUUAGCUUUAUGUUAAAAGGAAUUUAGUUAACCCUGGGAUCUGUGAAAAUUAUUUGUCCUUUAAAGGACUUGUAUCUGACUCAAGAAUUGCUAUGUGGUCCUAGGAACUCUGAGUUUCCCUUUGCAAAUGGUUUUCUCUUCUGCUCUGGUUCUUCCACUGCUGCCAGCAUCACUGUGUCCUGUGGCUGGAGCCCACAUCAUAGACCUUGGGUGCAGGAGGCAGAUGCUUGAGGAACUCUGUGUGCCUGUUGUACAGAGGCAGAUGGCUGAGACUGAGCUGGGAAUCAUGAUGUAUAAGGAAGGAAGUUAAGCAUCUUCACUAUCAAUCUUCUACUCCAUGUCUCUCUCUCUCUCUCUCUCAUUGUACAAGAUCCUGCUUGAAUCACUAGCACUGUCUGCGUAAAACAGUUCAGAAUGAAGUUCUCUACAUUUUAGAAUUCAGAGAGCCUGAAGACAUACUUCAGUCUCUUUUUGGUGUUCACCCUCACGCAGGUAAACAGAGUCUGACACAGGAAAUGUGUCUUUUGUUCAUCAUAUCCUAUAAAGUUCCUUUUAUGUUCACUGUCUCCACAAGGGUUCCUCAUAGAUCCAGAUCAACAUUUUCACAUUUGAAAGGAAAGUUCCCUGUGUGUCCCUACUGCCCUCUCCAGGAAUACCCCAAAUCACAGGUCAGCUGCAGUCACAAGGUCACCAGUGAGCCCAUAGGAGCAUCUCUACUUUUCCUUAUGCUGUUCACUGUCUUCUGAGAUUUGGGACAAGGACAAGAACUUUAGGAGUUGUGCUGGAUUAUACUGGUCAACUAGAUUAAGCAGACAACUAAGUUUCCAAGAAUGCCCUUCUGUGUGUAGUUCUGCCUUAGGGUUGGCUACAAGAUGAAACUGCACAAGAUAUGGAAGACAGAAGCAGUAGCAAUUACUCGUAGGAGGUCAUUGUGGUCAGAUGCAGUGAUAGACAGAUGUAGAGGUGGUUGGUAGGUCCCAUAUGGUCUCUGUUUCUCUCCAUUCUGCAUCUAGCUGAUCUUUCUGAUUCUUGGCCCUGCUGACCAACAAUGGCCCCAGUCCUAUCACCAGAUGCUUGGCUGUGGACCCACAUGAGUGGCAGCUAUGGAGAGCUAACCACUUUCCAACUACUUCUCCAUGAGCUUCCCUUUACAGUUUGACUCUGGUGGCUGAAAGUGUAUAGCUUCUUGGGUUUUCCUUCAAGCCUCAGCUUGUCCUGUCCAUCCUGCUUCAUGCAGACAGAUUAAUGACCCUUUUUCUGAUCUUCUGAUUCUCUCUUCUAGACCUUUACUUCUCUAGUUUCUCCCACAUUUGUAAGGUCUAAUUCUACAACGAAUUCCUUAUUCCUUUAUUCUGUGUCCUUCACAGGGGUUCUGCCUCCCUGGGUGACUCCUAACUGAUAGAGUUAUUUGUCCUGGAAGUGAUUCCAGGGACAGAACCCUAAAGAUGGGGAUUUGGCAUUAAUUCUUGGUUUUGAGGAGGCAUUAAUGACCCUAUUGCUGUGGUAAACAUGACACUAGUAGUCCCUGACACCAAGUGUCUAUAGAAGGCAAGGCAUUAGAUUAUCAGGUAGCUGCUGCCAUAGAACAAUGUAGUGGAAAUAAAAAUAUAAAGACUAUGGGACUUGAGGGCUGUUUCAAAGUGCUGUGGAAAAUAUGGAACGAAAAAAAUGAGCUCAGGGCAUUACAACCUCAGCUCAAGAUUCAGACAAGGAACUGGAAAAUCUCUGUGACUAUUCUGAAAGAAACUCUUAUUUCUCAUAGCUGCAAGAUCUGAUAUUUCUGAAAAUCAAACCCAAAGACUAAUACUAUGGGUAGCUGGAUUACACCACUAAUUUAAUUCAAGGUUUCUUACAGUUAGGGCAUUGGUUGGGAUAGAGUUGGGGCCCUGAAAAUUGAGGUGGCAACAUGUGGGUAGAUUCUCAUGAAGUAGAGAAACUUGAAGCCCCUCAGUCUCCUUCCCAGCAGAGGCAGCCAUUCCUCCUCUGAGGAGUUAGUACCCUCUUGACUGAAGUACCUAUAAUGACUUGUCCUGCGGAAAAAAUGACAAGACUCAUCAAGAGUCGCCCUCAACUCCUUUUCAUUGUUUCUAUUCUUAUUAAUGUCACUAGACUCAAGUCCUGGCAGGAUCAUGGGGGCAGGAACAAAAUGACAAGGUACUAUAGAUGCCCAAAGAAUUGAAAGAUUUUUCUAAUUUAUAUUUAUACUGCAAAAGUUUAGACUGCAAAUUUCCCCUUUUCCUUUUCUCCUAGAGACCUACAACCAUAUACCAUAGUCAUACUGCAUUGGGGAAAGGGAAAUAGACUUUUGGGGGGAUUUCUGGACACAGGCUCUGAAAUGAUACCAGUUCUGGGAGGCCCAAUAUGCCACUGCUGCCCCUUUUCCAGAGUAUGGAUUGAAUGGUAUUGAUUGAAUGGUAUUGAUUAGGUUGAAUGAUUAGUGGUAUUUUGGCUCAGCUCCAUCUCACAGUGUGCCCAGCUGGGCUGUGAACUCACACCAUAGUUAUUUCCCAAGUUCUAGGAUGCUUGAUUGAAAGUGACCCUCAUCAAAAGGCAGAACGACUGUAUUGGUUAUCUGAUCUGUGGAGUGAGGACAAGCAGAAGGCAUUAGAACUGCCUCUGUAUUCCAAAACAGUUAAUCCAAAAUAAUACUGCACUCUGGAGAGCCUGUAGAGAUUAGUGCCUUUAUAAAGGACUAAAAAUGGCUGGUGAUUUCUACCACAUCUCCAUUCAACUCAUCUAUUCGGCCUGUACAGAAGAAAGGUGGAUCUUGAAGAAUGAUAAAGGAUUAUUAUAAACUUAAUCAGAUGGUGAAUACAAUUGCAGCUGCUGUUCCAGAUGUGGUUUCGUUGCUGUAAUAAAUCAACAUGUCUGACAUCUGAUAUGGAAUUGGUUGCCUCACCAUUCUACAACACAUCAUGUAGAUCCACAACACUGAUGGACCAGGGGAACGUGGAAUAGCAACUGCAUCUUUUUAAGACAUAUAGAGACAAGAGGGUGGGAAACAAAGCCCAGGAGAAUUUAAGAGCUUGCUCCUUUAGUGAACUUUCUUGGGGUUGCACGGUCUGGGGAAAGUUGAGAUAUUUCAUCCAAGGCGAAGGUCAAGUUGCUACAUCUGGUUCCUUCUACCAUUAAGAAAGAGUCCCAGCUCCUAGCAUGCAUCACUGGAUUGUGGAGGUUUCAGAUCUGCAUCACAGUCUGAAGUUCCUUCACUUGUUUUCCCUAUAUUCUCCACAGAUAUUUCCUUCAAUAAACCUCUAAUUCUGGCUUAGUAUAUGUAUUUUUUGGAGGACUCAAACAGAUACAGUUGAUAUCAAGAAUUGUUCAAAAAACAGAUAGGGUUUGGGACUGACUAAGUCACCACCCUGCUGGCCAGGGGGACCCCAUCCUUGAUGAUAUUUGAGGCAUUGAUAGUCCCUAGUACUAGAUGAAGGUCCAACUGCCAAAGAUUUCUGUGGUGGUUGUGGUAGCAGGGAGGUCUUGGUGAGAGAGAAUUCCCCUGCAGGUGCAAUGAUUCAGGCAUUUGAAAGAUAUGAGGCGAACAAUGCCUACAAAGAGAACAGAGUCUACUGGAUAUUGCUAAAUUGUAUUAAAACCCUGAAAAGAGUUAAUGACAAAUGACAGCAUUAAAAACAGUUAAAGUCUAAAUGUGAGAGCCGGAGAAUGUCUUUGAUAACUAAGACAUCCUUAUCUCCUUCAGAGGAAGGGCAGACAUAGCUGAGGAACAGAUAGGAUUUGAUACAGUUGCAGAGCUCUGGAUGCAUUUACAUGCUCAGCCAAGGGAAAUCUGUUAUGCUAUGGUAACAGGGCCCUGGUUGGGAAAAUCUGGAACCCUGAAACAUGGGCUGGGGCUAUCUGGAUGGAUGCCCCUGAACCCUCACAGCUUGUUGUUUGCUCUGAACCCUCACAGCUUGCAGAGGUGGCCUACCAUAGUAAAAACUAGCAAUUUCCUUAUGUAAGAAGAUGCUGCAAAGGCCUUUCCCUUGCACGGCAAUCAGUGCCCCAUCAGGAACUAUCUCCCUUCUCUCCUGGCUUCCAGGUUGAUAACUAGAGUUAAACACUGGCAUAACCAUGAUGAGCUAGGUUCUUUUAGACCUUCCAAGGCAUAAAGUUGAAUGGGCCUAGUAGCACUCCAUUGUAAAUGGAAAUAGUGUAUUUGGGAUUGAGCUCAACUUGGACCAGAGUUCAUAAGAAAAUUGCAUGAGCUGGUUACCCAGACUCCCAGGACACUUUCCACAAUUGCACCAAUGCAUUUCCCACAUCUUUUAUCUCUGGCCAUAUUAGGUGUGGCGUGUGACUAGAGGAAGGAGAAAGAAGCAAUAGCCUGAGCUUGAUUUAUAGUUGAGUUUGCUUGGUAUGUGUGUCCAAGCCAAGAAUGUACAGCAACUACAUUAUAGAAACAUUCAGAGAUGGCCUUAAAAGGCAGUGGAGAGAGAGAAACUUCCCUAUGUGUGGAUCUGUGAGCAGUGUUCUGGUAAUCUACAUUUUAUAUGAAAGGAAAAGUGGCCUGAGGUGAGAAUACAUAUAUAGUUUCCUGGGCAUUGGCCAAUAGUCUAGCUGGCAGAUCAGGGGCCUGGAAGAAGAAAAAAAAGAGUUGAAAAGUUAAAGACAUUGAGACAGGAGGUAGAGGCAUGUGGAUGAACAUAUGGGAGUGGACACAGUGUGAAAAUUUUUAUGUCAUAUGUUAACACUCCUUAGAAAGCAUCCACUGUGGAAGAGGCACAGAAUAAGUAGAUAAAAUGACUCCAGCAGUAAGUAGUCAAAAUAACUCAGUCAACUGAUGUUAGCUGGCUUUCAUCAUCAGCCCACUUGUAACUGGCAUGAUGAGAAUACGAAAAGCCUAUUUGCCACAAAUGGCUAUGAAGGAUAUGCGUGGACUCAUCAGCAUGACCGUUCACUUAUCAAGGCUAAUAUACCUACUGCCACCUCUGAAUUUCCAAUCUUCCAGCAACAGAGAUCAAUGCUGAGUCUUGAUAUGGCACUAUUUCUUUUUUGUUUGUUUGUUUUGUUUUGUUUUAAGUUUUUU